rnacentral:rRNA from 1 species
AGCAGCCGCGGUAAUUCCAGCUCCAAUAGCGUAUAUUAAAGUUGUUGCAGUUAAAAAGCUCGUAGUUGAAUUUCGGGAUCAAUACGUCGGUCGUGCUUCGGUACGUACUGGCAUUGUUGGUUUCUACCUUCUGACGAACCAUGAUGUCAUUUAUUUGGUGUCGUGGGGAAUCAGGACUGUUACUUUGAAAAAAUUAGAGUGUUUAAAGCAGGCUCACGCUUGAAUACAUUAGCAUGGAAUAAUGAAAUAGGACGUUUGAUUCUAUUUUGUUGGUUUCUAGGAUCGACGUAAUGAUUAAUAGGGAUAGUUGGGGGCAUUAGUAUUCAAUUGUCAGAGGUGAAAUUCUUGGAUUUAUUGAAGACUAACUACUGCGAAAGCAUUUGCCAAGGAUGU